CGGCGCAUCAGGAAAGGGGCUGCGCGGGCGCGAGGACUGGCCGGUGGGCGUUCCGGCGCCGCGAACCGCGGAGCCUGCAACUUACAAGUAGGACGUUGAAGAAAGGACAAGCCCCCUUUGUCCUGGACGUAAGCCGCAAGUCGUCCUGAGUGGUGCACACCGCGAAGACUGAGGAAACUGGAUCACAGGGCUGGGCCGUGAGCCUUGAACCUCGGAGAACGUCGCAUUACUGCUCCAGCGCGCCGGUUCAGGGCCGCGGGACGCGAGCCCUUUAAAAGGAUGGAUUUGCUUCCUGUGACUCCCUGGAAGAGACGUCUUCACCACCGCACUGCGUAGAGGCCGGCGUCGUCGCCGGCUCACCCCGCUUGCUGCCUCCCCGCACAAAGCCCAGCCCAGGUAGCUCAGGUUAGCUGGAGCCCCGGAGCCUCACCUACAAGUACCUGGCCUGUCCUAGGUUGUGUGGGGACGGGAUGUGGCUUCUGCAAGCCCAGAAACCUGUUUCCACUCCCCCACCACAAAUGGAACUCACCCAGCUCUACUCGCAAGGUUAGGAGCCAAAAAUUCCCAUGAUCGCACGCGAAUUCAUUUGACUUCCGUUUCAGUUAAGAUGCCUUUUCAGCAUUUUGUUGCUUGUUUGCAGAAGGGAGAGAGGUAGGAUCAAGAAUAGUUUUUACUCCUGCAGAGUCGAGUGCGAGACUUGGAGGCUGAGUCCAGGCGCUCUCCCCUCCCCGCCAGUCCCGUGUCCUGGAGCAGGUCACUGACCUGGUUCCUCGAGUGCGACAGCGCAGCCUCAUCGUAAUAAACCGCCUCCCAAAGCGUUGUCAGAUCAAAUUCCAGAACAUGUUACUGGAAAGCACCUUGAACACUCUAAACUGCAGCACAGUUAUUAGUUAGCAAUACUCUUUGGGGUUUCACUGGCACCUUUUCUAACAAAUAAGAUUGAUAGAUGCCUGCUCAAACAAAUUGAAGUGCUUGUCUCAGAUGACACACUUGGCAGGCAUGGGACGUUCACAGGCCAACUAGAGAGCUAAUUUCAAAACUGAGAUAUAAAAGUGUAUCGCUGUACUUACAAGUUACCAAGUGUUGAGAAAUUACUCACUUUCAUUUGUGUGUUUAAUGUCUUUUUUGUUUUUUUAGACGGAGUCUCACUCUGUUCCCCAGGCUGCAGUGCAGUGGCAUGAUCUCGGCCCACUGCAACCUCCGCUUCCUGGGUUCAAGCAAUCCUCACAUUUCAGCCUCCCGAGUAGCUGGGAUUACAGGCGCGCACCACCAUGUCCAGCUAAUUUUUAAAAAUAUUUUUAGUAGAGACGGGGUUUCGCCAUGUUGGCCAGGCCGGUCUCAAACUCCUGGCCUCCAGCAAUCCGCUGGCCUCGGCCUCCUGAAGUGCUAGGAUUACAGGCGUGAGCCACCGCGCCUGGCCUGUUUAAUGUCUUGCAGUGGGGUCAUCUCCGAAACAAAGAGGGAUGGGAAGAAGGUAGGUGCCAAGAAGUCUGCUGGUUGGAAGAUUUCAUCUCAUUGGCGAGAUCCCUGGGUUUCUCCACCUCAGCAGUGUUGGCUUUUGGGAUGGGAUAAUCCUUUCAUGUGGGGUCUGUUCCAUGCUUUGUAGGAUGUUUGACAGCAUCCCUGGCCUCCACCCACUAGAUGCCAGUAGCACACACACUCCUCCAAAAUUCACGGAAAACGUCUUCAAAGUCAAAUAUGUGGCCCCACCUUCAUCUCCAUCCCCAACCCCUGAUUUAAAAUUUGCCACUGGUGAUGAUCUCAUUGGGAGCUAUUGAGAAUACACAGGACUGUGGUUUACACCUGUAAUCCCAACACUUUGGGAGGCUGAGGCUGGAGGAUGGCUUGAGCCCAGGAGUUUGAGACCAGCCUGGGCAACAUAGCAAGACCCCAACUCUAAAAUAAAUAAAAUUUUAAAAAAUUUUAAAAAGGCCAAGAACAGUGGCUCUCACCUGUAAUCCCAGCACUUUGGGAGGCCGAGGCAAGUGGAUCACUUGAGGUCAGGAGUUUGAGACCAGCCUGGCCAACACAGUGAAACCCCAUCUCUGCUAAAAAUACAAAAAUUAGCGAGGCGUGGUGGUGCACGCCUGUAAUCCCAGCUGCUCCAGAGACUGAGGCAGGAGAAUCGCUUGAACCCAGGAGGCAGGGUUUGCAGUGAGUCGAGACUGUGCCACUGCACUCCAGCCUGGGUGACGGAGUCAAACUCCAUCUCAAAAAAAAAUACACAGGAUUGUGGCUCAUGCCUGUAAUACCGGCACUUUGGGAGGCCAAGGUGGUAGGAUGGCUUGAGCCCAGGAGUUCAGGACCAGCCUGGGCAACAUAGCAAGACCCCAACUGUACAAUAAAUAAAUAAAAUUUUUUAAAAUGAAACAAAGGCCGGCCAGCUGCAAUGGCUCACGCCUGUAAUCCCAGCACUUUGGGAGGCCGAGGCAGGCAGAUCACUUGAGGUCAGGAGUUCUAGACCAGCCUGGCCAACGUGGUGAAACCCCAUUUCUACUAAAAAUAUAAAAAUUAGCCAGCCGUGGUGGCAGGCACCAGUAAUCCGAGCUAUUUAGGAGGCUGAGGCAGGAGAAUCGCUUGAACCCAGGAGGCAGGGGUUACAGUGAGCCGAGAUUGCACCACUGCACUCCAGCCUGGACAACAAGAGUGAGACUCCAUCUCAAAAAAAAAAAAUUAAAAAUAAAAGAAUGCACAGUCCAGUAAUGUCACCCAGCCCUAUAUCAGUAAAGGUCACACUCUAGAGUGGUACAUAUCUCAGCUGCAUCUAAGGCCUUGCUAAUUAGCUCAUUAGAAUGUCACAAAUGGGUUUUUAUAUUACCCAUGUAUAGCUGCCAAAAAUGUUUAAGUGAAUCUAAUCAAAGUUGGAAAAAAAAAUAAGAAAAAUCCAGGUUGGAAGACAUUCAGCAAAACAAUUUCCCUGCACUACACUCUAAAAAAAGUCAAGCUAGGGAAUUGGUCCAGACAGAUAACACAACUGGGUUGGUCCAUUAAGUGACCCCUGAUGCAGCACUGCAUUGAAGGCAAAAAAGCUGUGAGAGAGAUUUGAGGGACAACUGGGGAACUUUGUAGUUAUAUAUGGACUAUAUAUUAGACAGUAUUAUUGUAUCAUCAUUAGAUUUUUCAGUGUGACAGUGGCUAUUUACAAGAAUGCCCUAGUUCUUAGGAUGUUAGUGCUGAAUCAUUAGACAAGAGACCUGAUGGCUACAACUGACAUAUAAAUGCCUCAGAGACUGAUGUAUUUUAUAUGGAGGUAAAGCAAAUGUAACAAACUGUUAAUAGUUGGUGGAUCUAAGUGAUGAGUCUAGGUGUGUUAUUGUGCAGUUUUUUCAACUUUUCUGGAAAACGAACUUUUCAAAAUAAAAAAUUGGAAAAAUAGAA